GACUGGGUUGAUAGGCCGGAUCUGGAAGCACGGUAACGUGUGGAGGUGACCGGUACUAAUAGGCCGAGGGCUUGUCCUC
rnacentral:rRNA from 1 species